rnacentral:lncRNA from 1 species
UUUCAGGAUAAAUUAGGCGAAGGAAGAUAUGGAACGGUUUAUAAAGGAAAACUUCGAAGUGGCCCUUUUGUUGCAAUAAAGAAGAUGUCCAGUUCUGUUGCUAGUGGAAAAGAAUUCAUCAGUGAAGUAGCAAAAAUUGGAAGGAUUCACCAUGGAAAUGUGGUGAAACUUAUUGGCUCCUGGGAUAGACUAUCUACAUCACAAUGUCGACCAUGUUGAUAUUAAGCCUCAAAAUAUUCUUCUCCAAGAAAAUUUCAACCCCAAAAUUUCUUAUUUUGGUCUUGCGAAAUUGAAUCCGUUGAAUGAUAUUGAAGGAGCCCCGUAUAAGGCAGAUCUUUACGACUUUGGAAUGAUGCUGUUGGAAAUGGCAAAAAGAAAGAGAAACAUGAAUCCAUUUGCUGAAAAUUUGAGCCAAAUGUAGUUCCCUUGGGUAUAUGAUCAGCUUAGUGAAAGAAAAGAAUUGGAAUUGAAAGACAUCAUAGAUGAAGAGAGCGAGAGAGAGAUGAUGAAAAAGAUGAUGAUAGUAGCUUUAUGGUGCAUUCGGACGAGGACCGAAGGUCAUCCUUCUAUGAGUAAAGUUGUCGAGAUGCUUGAAGCCAACAUUGAAAUCCUAUGGAUGCCUCCAAAAUCCUUCCCAUCUGCCAGUGAGGCAGCCAAGGAUGAUGAAAACACUGCCUGUGUGUCGGCGUCUGUAUAAUGUAGUGAUGUUGUAUAUUGU